rnacentral:tRNA from 1 species
UCCUUGGUGGCUCAGAUGGUAAAGAAUCUGCCUGCAAUGCAGGAGACCCAGGUUCAAUCCCUGGGUCAGGAA